AUUGAACGCUGGCGGCAUGCUUUACACAUGCAAGUCGAACGGUAACAGGCCGCCAGGUGCUAACGAGUGGCGAACGGGUGAGUAAUGCAUCGGAACGUGCCCAGUCGUGGGGGAUAACUACUCGAAAGAGUAGCUAAUACCGCAUACGAUCUAUGGAUGAAAGCGGGGGACCGUAAGGCCUCGCGCGAUUGGAGCGGCCGAUGUCAGAUUAGGUAGUUGGUGGGGUAAAGGCUCACCAAGCCAACGAUCUGUAGCUGGUCUGAGAGGACGACCAGCCACACUGGGACUGAGACACGGCCCAGACUCCUACGGGAGGCAGCAGUGGGGAAUUUUGGACAAUGGGCGCAAGCCUGAUCCAGCAAUGCCGCGUGCAGGAAGAAGGCCUUCGGGUUGUAAACUGCUUUUGUACGGAACGAAACGGCUCUGGUUAAUACCCGGGGCUAAUGACGGUACCGUAAGAAUAAGCACCGGCUAACUACGUG
rnacentral:rRNA from 1 species